CCUUGGGACCACCCCCACCUCGGAGGGCUCCUCCUGGCCACUGCAGCCCUGGCGGUGGCCACCGGGGUCUUCUAAGCCACUAGGGCUGCCAAGACCACCGUGGUCAUUGCGGUCACCGCGGUCACCAAAGCCACUUGCACCCCCCAAGCCAUGAGGCCACCAAGGUCACUGAGGUCUCCAAAGUCACCGUGGCCUCUGUGGCCACCAAGACAAGACAAGGGAGGGGACAACAGCGGAGCCAUGGGUGCCACCAGGACGUUGGGACAGGGGGACCCUGAAUGUGCCAUGGCUGUGGUUCUUCACUUUUUGGUCUUUUUUUUUUGCCUCCCUUUCCAAAAAUUUUAAUUUUUCUUCCCAAUUAUUAAACUGGAUUUACCUCAAUCCAUGAUUUUUCCCUUCACUGUAACCCUCUGGAGAAGGAGGAUGAGGAGGAAGGACAGAGGGGCUCCCUGGGCAGGGGAUGGUCUUGAAGGUCCUUUCGCAUCCCAAAUUAUCCUGGAAUUCCAGGAUUUCCUGCAGGCAGGAGGAAGAGGAAAAGGAGGAGGAGGAGGAAGAGGGUUCUGAGAGUGGAACAACCCCCUGAUGAGUCGAAUUUUCUACCCCAACAACCCAGAAAAGGCCUCAACAUUCCAAGGGCCCAAAACUGAAGGUGAUGAUAAAAAAAGGGCUAAAACCACAACCAAGGAAUGCACAUGCUCCAAAAUGCCAGAUCCAAGGAGGAGCCGUGCUAAACAAUUAUUGGGAUAUGUAAACGAGUUUGGAGAAAAGUUUAUUAUGCAUAAGGGGCUAUGAAUAUGCAACAGGAUGAUGUAAUGGAAGAGGACAGUGAGCGUGUUUUUCACAGCAGCUGCAAGGACUGAGACCACCAAGCACUCCCAAAACGCCCCAAGACUCACAGGAUUGCAUCAUUCCACCCCAAAACUCCCUGCCAUGGAGGAGGGACUCAGCAUUCCCACCCACAUUGUAUUUGCAGGGUUCCCAGGAAAAGGAAGGAAUGAUGAAGCUGACUCCAUGUUCUCAGAUGGCUA